rnacentral:rRNA from 1 species
AGAGUUUGAUCCUGGCUCAGGAUGAACGCUAGCGACAGGCCUAACACAUGCAAGUCGAGGGGCAGCACGGUGUAGCAAUACACGGGUGGCGACCGGCGCACGGGUGAGUAACGCGUAUGCAACCUGCCUACUACAAGGGGAUAACCCGUUGAAAGACGGACUAAUACCCUAUAACACAGGGAAUCCGCAUGGAUAUAUUUGUUAAAGAUUUAUCGGUAGUAGAUGGGCAUGCGUUCCAUUAGCUUGUUGGUGAGGUAACGGCUCACCAAGGCAACGAUGGAUAGGGGAACUGAGAGGUUGAUCCCCCACACUGGAACUGAGACACGGUCCAGACUCCUACGGGAGGCAGCAGUGAGGAAUAUUGGUCAAUGGGCGCGAGCCUGAACCAGCCAAGUCGCGUGAAGGAAGACUGCCCUAUGGGUUGUAAACUUCUUUUGUACAGGAAUAAAGUGAGUCACGUGUGGCUUUUUGUAUGUACUGUACGAAUAAGGAUCGGCUAACUCCGUGCCAGCAGCCGCGGUAA